GAUGAACGCUGGCGGCGUGCCUAAUACAUGCAAGUCGAGCGAAUGGAUUAAGAGCUUGCUCUUAUGAAGUUAGCGGCGGACGGGUGAGUAACACGUGGGUAACCUGCCCAUAAGACUGGGAUAACUCCGGGAAACCGGGGCUAAUACCGGAUAACAUUUUGAACCGCAUGGUUCGAAAUUGAAAGGCGGCUUCGGCUGUCACUUAUGGAUGGACCCGCGUCGCAUUAGCUAGUUGGUGAGGUAACGGCUCACCAAGGCAACGAUGCGUAGCCGACCUGAGAGGGUGAUCGGCGAGACUGGGACUGAGACACGGCCCAGACUCCUACGGGAGGCAGCAGUAGGGAAUCUUCCGCAAUGGACGAAAGUCUGACGGAGCAACGCCGCGUGAGUGAUGAAGGCUUUCGGGUCGUAAAACUCUGUUGUUAGGGAAGAACAAGUGCUAGUUGAAUAAGCUGGCACCUUGACGGUACCUAACCAGAAAGCCACGGCUAACUACGUGCCAGCAGCCGCGGUAA
rnacentral:rRNA from 1 species